rnacentral:tRNA from 1 species
GGGAUUGUAGUUAAUUAUAACAUUUGGGUUGCAUACAAAAAGUAUUGAAUUUUCAAUCUAUCUCA